GGCGGGUGCUAUACAUGCAAGUCGAACGAACUCUGGUAUUGAUUGGUGCUUGCAUCAUGAUUUACAUUUGAGUGAGUGGCGAACUGGUGAGUAACACGUGGGAAACCUGCCCAGAAGCGGGGGAUAACACCUGGAAACAGAUGCUAAUACCGCAUAACAACUUGGACCGCAUGGUCCGAGCUUGAAAGAUGGCUUCGGCUAUCACUUUUGGAUGGUCCCGCGGCGUAUUAGCUAGAUGGUGGGGUAACGGCUCACCAUGGCAAUGAUACGUAGCCGACCUGAGAGGGUAAUCGGCCACAUUGGGACUGAGACACGGCCCAAACUCCUACGGGAGGCAGCAGUAGGGAAUCUUCCACAAUGGACGAAAGUCUGAUGGAGCAACGCCGCGUGAGUGAAGAAGGGUUUCGGCUCGUAAAACUCUGUUGUUAAAGAAGAACAUAUCUGAGAGUAACUGUUCAGGUAUUGACGGUAUUUAACCAGAAAGCCACGGCUAACUACGUGCCAGCAGCCGCGGUAAUACGUAGGUGGCAAGCGUUGUCCGGAUUUAUUGGGCGUAAAGCGAGCGCAGGCGGUUUUUUAAGUCUGAUGUGAAAGCCUUCGGCUCAACCGAAGAAGUGCAUCGGAAACUGGGAAACUUGAGUGCAGAAGAGGACAGUGGAACUCCAUGUGUAGCGGUGAAAUGCGUAGAUAUAUGGAAGAACACCAGUGGCGAAGGCGGCUGUCUGGUCUGUAACUGACGCUGAGGCUCGAAAGUAUGGGUAGCAAACAGGAUUAGAUACCCUGGUAGUCCAUACCGUAAACGAUGAAUGCUAAGUGUUGGAGGGUUUCCGCCCUUCAGUGCUGCAGCUAACGCAUUAAGCAUUCCGCCUGGGGAGUACGGCCGCAAGGCUGAAACUCAAAGGAAUUGACGGGGGCCCGCACAAGCGGUGGAGCAUGUGGUUUAAUUCGAAGCUACGCGAAGAACCUUACCAGGUCUUGACAUACUAUGCAAAUCUAAGAGAUUAGACGUUCCCUUCGGGGACAUGGAUACAGGUGGUGCAUGGUUGUCGUCAGCUCGUGUCGUGAGAUGUUGGGUUAAGUCCCGCAACGAGCGCAACCCUUAUUAUCAGUUGCCAGCAUUAAGUUGGGCACUCUGGUGAGACUGCCGGUGACAAACCGGAGGAAGGUGGGGAUGACGUCAAAUCAUCAUGCCCCUUAUGACCUGGGCUACACACGUGCUACAAUGGAUGGUACAACGAGUUGCGAACUCGCGAGAGUAAGCUAAUCUCUUAAAGCCAUUCUCAGUUCGGAUUGUAGGCUGCAACUCGCCUACAUGAAGUCGGAAUCGCUAGUAAUCGCGGAUCAGCAUGCCGCGGUGAAUACGUUCCCGGGCCUUGUACACACCGCCCGUCACACCAUGAGAGUUUGUAACACCCAAAGUCGGUGGGGUAACCUUUUAGGAACCAGCCGCCUAAGGUGGGACAGAUGAUUAGGGUGAAGUCGUAACAAGACCU
rnacentral:rRNA from 1 species